UUCGGGGGGGGCAAGCGUUGUUCGGAAUUACUGGGCGUAAAGGGCUCGUAGGCGGCCAACUAAGUCAGACGUGAAAUCCCUCGGCUUAACCGGGGAACUGCGUCUGAUACUGGAUGGCUUGAGUUUGGGAGAGGGAUGCGGAAUUCCAGGUGUAGCGGUGAAAUGCGUAGAUAUCUGGAGGAACACCGGUGGCGAAGGCAGAUCUCUGGGCCGUAACUGACGCUGAGGAGCGAAAGCAUGGGGAGCGAACAGG
rnacentral:rRNA from 1 species